rnacentral:rRNA from 1 species
GACGAACGCUGGCGGCGUGCUUAACACAUGCAAGUCUACGAGAACGAGGUAGCAAUAUCUUUAUUAAAGUGGCGCACGGGUGAGUAACACGUAAGUAACCUACCUUUAGAUUUGGAAUAACUCCGAGAAAUCGGGGCUAAUACCGAAUGAUGCAGCGGCACCACAUGGUGAUGUUGUUAAAGUCUAUACGGCGUCUAAAGAUGGGCUUGCGUCUGAUUAGCUAGUUGGUGAGGUAACGGCUCACCAAGGCAACGAUCAGUAGCUGGUCUGAGAGGAUGAUCAGCCACACUGGAACUGAGACACGGUCCAGACUCCUACGGGUGGCAG